CGUCUUUGGGGGUUUCUGGUUUUUCAAGAAAUGAAUUUAAUUCAUGCGCUUUGUUUAAUUUUUGCUGUUGGUUUAUUUUUUUUUAUUUGGUGUUAAGAUUGCGGGGGAUUAGCUCUUCAGUUUUUUUAUAACUUUUGUUUUGUAUCUAUUCUUGUGGAUUUUAAGUUGGUUUUCUAUAUGAUUAUGUUAAAAUUUCAUUUGUUUUGUUUUUUAUUUUUAUUUGUUUAAUUAUUUAUUGGAAUGGUUUCUUUACUUUUUUUUGGUUUGUAAUUAUUGUAGAAUUAGUAAAUUUCUGUUUUGGUUUGUUUAAUGCGAUUGUUUAAUUGUUAUUUUCUUCUGAGGAAUUAGGCAAGGAUUUGGUGCUCGCCUGUUUAACAAAAACAUCGCCUCUUGUUAGUUUUUGAGGUAUGGCCUGCCCACUGAUUUUUGUUGGUUGAAGGGCCGCGGUAUUUUGACCGUGCAAAGGUAGCAUAAUCAUUAGUUCUUUAAUUGUGAUCUGGUAUGAAUGGUUCGACGAGGUGCAGUCUGUCUUAGGGUUAGUUAGGAUUUGUUGUUGAUUUUAGUUUUUGAGUUAAAAUUCUUAAAUGUUUUUAUGGGACGAGAAGACCCUAUAGAGUUUGACAUACGCUUUUUGUUUUGUAGUUGGUUUGGAUUUAAAUUUACUUUUCGGUGUGUUUUGUUGGGGUGAUGGGAAGGCUUUUUUUAACCCUUCCUUGUUGGGUUUAAUAUUUAUUAGUAGUUGUUUGAUCCUCUUUUUGUGAUUGUAAGAUUAAAUUACCUUAGGGAUAACAGCGUUAUCUUCCCUGAGAGUUCUUAUUGGCGGGGGGGUUUGCGACCUCGAUGUUGGAUUAAGGUUAAUUUCCGGUGUAGGGGCUGGUUGUGGAUUAGGUCUGUUCGACCUUUAAAAUCUUACAUGAUCUGAGUUCAGACCGGCGUGAGCCAGGUUGGUUUCUAUCUAUAAUUUUUUUAUAUGUCUUAGUACGAGAGGACCAGGCAUUUGGAAUAAUUUUGUUGUUGGUGGUUUUUAUUAA
rnacentral:rRNA from 1 species